AGUACAAUCACAAAGCACGACUACGAUAGAGCUUAUAUUACGAGUAGUAGCCACGACGAUAACGAAAAUAUUAACAUGGAUCAAACAUUUGAUUCAUGGUGGAACCGUACAUUUAAGAUUUUCGAUGGGCUUGACGGGAAUACAAAUCAAAGGACGUUCGAAAUCAUUAAAGAAAACUCGAGAAGCUAUUUCAACGAUCGGAAGCUAUGAAAGAGAUGAAAGCGGUCAAGGAAGCUCAUCCCACCAAAGGAAGUGUGACAAGAUGGGUGAUGGCUCUCCACAGAUAUGAAACUAUCAAAGGCAAAAGGUUUAAGCAUGAUGAUUGCUACCGUAUCUUGGAAGAAAACAUCUAUGAUUUCUACCUGUAUGAAUAAGUUUCUAAGUUCAACCUAUCUAUCUAUUCCAUUUCCACCAAUGUUAUUUUAUGUUAUGAAAUAUGAAGGUAUUUUUCUGUUUCAA